UAUUUUUAUUAUAAUAUUUCUACCAGUAAGCCUCGUCAGUCGCUCAGUAGGUAGUGUCAAAGUGCUGUCACUGGGUGUCUGACAGGUCUUACUGAUAGAAUCUGAUAUGACAGGCGUUU
rnacentral:precursor_RNA from 12 species